rnacentral:ncRNA from 1 species
AGAAGUAUGCAGUAAUAACUUAUAGGGUGCUUUGGUGUUCCCUCGGAGUAUCCGGGGCGUGAUUGAGCAAUCAAUUACUUAGCCAAAGGAUAUCGCCCUACAAGACGCUACUUCU